AGCUGGCGGCGUGCUUACACAUGCAGUCGAACGAUGAAGCCGCUUCGGUGGUGGAUUAGUGGCGAACGGGUGAGUAACACGUGGGCAAUCUGCCCUUCACUCUGGGACAAGCCCUGGAAACGGGGUCUAAUACCGGAUAACACUCUGUCCCGCAUGGGACGGGGUUGAAAGCUCCGGCGGUGAAGGAUGAGCCCGCGGCCUAUCAGCUUGUUGGUGGGGUAAUGGCCUACCAAGGCGACGACGGGUAGCCGGCCUGAGAGGGCGACCGGCCACACUGGGACUGAGACACGGCCCAGACUCCUACGGGAGGCAGCAGUGGGGAAUAUUGCACAAUGGGCGAAAGCCUGAUGCAGCGACGCCGCGUGAGGGAUGACGGCCUUCGGGUUGUAAACCUCUUUCAGCAGGGAAGAAGCGAAAGUGACGGUACCUGCAGAAGAAGCGCCGGCUAACUACGUGCCAGCAGCCGCGGUAAUACGUAGGGCGCAAGCGUUGUCCGGAAUUAUUGGGCGUAAAGAGCUCGUAGGCGGCUUGUCACGUCGGAUGUGAAAGCCCGGGGCUUAACCCCGGGUCUGCAUUCGAUACGGGCUAGCUAGAGUGUGGUAGGGGAGAUCGGAAUUCCUGGUGUAGCGGUGAAAUGCGCAGAUAUCACGAGGAACACCGGUGGCGAAGGCGGAUCUCUGGGCCAUUACUGACGCUGAGGAGCGAAAGCGUG
rnacentral:rRNA from 1 species